AUUGAACGCUGGCGGCAUGCCUUACACAUGCAAGUCGAACGGCAGCGCGGACUUCGGUCUGGCGGCGAGUGGCGAACGGGUGGGUAAUGUAUCGGAACGUACCAUUCAGUGGGGGAUAACGCAGCGAAAGUUGCGCUAAUACCGCAUAUUCUGUGCGCAGGAAAGCAGGGGAUCGCAAGACCUUGCGCCGAUUGAGCGGCCGAUAUCAGAUUAGCUAGUUGGUGAGGUAAAGGCUCACCAAGGCGACGAUCUGUAGCGGGUCUGAGAGGAUGAUCCGCCACACUGGAACUGAGACACGGUCCAGACUCCUACGGGAGGCAGCAGUGGGGAAUUUUGGACAAUGGGCGCAAGCCUGAUCCAGCCAUGCCGCGUGGGUGAAGAAGGCCUUCGGGUUGUAAAGCUCUUUCGGCCGGGAAGAAAUCGUAUGGGUUAAUACCCUGUGCGGAUGACGGUACCGGCAUAAGAAGCACCGGCUAACUACGUGCCAGCAGCCGCCGUAAUAC
rnacentral:rRNA from 1 species